ACCGGUCCUGUGAGUUAAAAGGGAAUCCAGUGUGAAUCUGGGGCUGACGCGCAGCGGUAAGGAAGGUGGGAAACGAAUGCACCCGAUGCAGACACUGCGGCUUGCCGUGGGAAGUCCUCGUUUUCCGAUGUCGCCUCCAAGCCCGAAGACCUGCCGGAUGAC
rnacentral:ncRNA from 1 species